rnacentral:rRNA from 1 species
CCUACGGGUGGCAGCAGUGAGGAAUAUUGGUCAAUGGACGUAAGUCUGAACCAGCCAUGCCGCGUGCAGGAAGACGGCUCUAUGAGUUGUAAACCGCUUUUGUACGAGGGUAAACGCAGAUACGCGUAUCUGUCUGAAAGUAUCUUAUGAAUAAGGAUCGGCUAACUCCGUGCCAGCAGCCGCGGUAAUACGGAGGAUUCAAGCGUUAUCCGGAUUUAUUGGGUUUAAAGGGUGCGUAGGCGGUCGGAUAAGUUAGAGGUGAAAGCCCGAGGCUCAACUACGGAAUUGCCUCUGAUACUGUGCGGCUAGAGAGUAGUUGCGGUAGGCGGAAUGUAUGGUGUAGCGGUGAAAUGCUUAGAGAUCAUACAGAACACCGAUUGCGAAGGCAGCAUACCAGCGCUCAACUGACGCUCAUGCACGAAAGUGUGGGUAUCGAACAGGAUUAGAUACCCGAGUAGUC